rnacentral:rRNA from 1 species
UACGGAAGGGGCAAGCGUUGUUCGGAAUCACUGGGCUUAAAGGGCGGCGUAGGCGGAUUCUCAAGUCCGGGGUGAAAUCCCACAGCUCAACUGUGGAACUGCCUCGGAUACUGGGGUCUCGAGGGUGGCAGGGGUAUGCGGAACUAUCGGUGGAGCGGUGAAAUGCGUUGAUAUCGAUAGGAACUCCGGUGGCGAAGGCGGCAUACUGGUCCACUUCUGACGCUGAGGCGCGAAAGCCAGGGGAGCGAACGGG